CUUGACAUCCAGCGAACUUGGCAGAGAUGCCUUGGUGCCUUCGGGAACGCUGAGACAGGUGCUGCAUGGCUGUCGUCAGCUCGUGUUGUGAAAUGUUGGGUUAAGUCCGCAACGAGCGCAACCCUUAUCCUUUGUUGCCAGCGAUUCGGUCGGGAACUCAAAGGAGACUGCCGGUGAUAAACCGGAGGAAGGUGGGGAUGACGUCAAGUCAUCGUGGCCCUUACGAGUAGGGCUACACACGUGCUACAAUGGCGCAUACAAAGAGAAGCGACCUCGCGAGAGCAAGCGGACCUCAUAAAGUGCGUCGUAGUCCGGAUCGGAGUCUGCAACUCGACUCCGUGAAGUCGGAAUCGCUAGUAAUCGUGGAUCAGAAUGCCACGGUGAAUACGUUCCCGGGCCUUGUACACACCGCCCGUCACACCAUGGGAGUGGGUUGCAAAAGAAGUAGGUAGCUUAACCUUCGGGAGGGCGCUUACCACUUUGUGAUUCAUGACUGGGGUGAAGUCGUAACAAGGUAAGCGUAGCGAG
rnacentral:rRNA from 1 species